UAAGUNUGAUGUGAAAGCCCCCGGCUCAACCGGGGAGGGUCAUUGGAAACUGGGGAACUUGAGUGCAGAAGAGGAGAGUGGAAUUCCAUGUGUAGCGAUGAAAUGCGUAGAUAUAUGGAGGAACACCAGUGGCGAAGGCGACUCUCUGGUCUGUAACUGACGCUGAGGCUCGAAAGCGUGGGUAGCAAACAGGAUUAGAUACCCUGGUAGUNCACGCCGUAAACGAUGAGUGCUAAGUGUUGGAGGGUUUCCGCCCUUCAGUGCUGCAGUUAACGCAUUAAGCACUCCGCCUGGGGAGUACGACCGCAAGGUUGAAACUCAAAGGAAUUGACGGGGACCCGCACAAGCGGUGGAGCAUGUGGCUUAAUUCGAAGCAACGCGAAGAACCUUACCAAGUCUUGACAUCCUUUGACCACUCUAGAGAUAGAGCUUUCCCUUCGGGGACAAAGUGACAGGUGGUGCAUGGUUGUCGUCAGCUCGUGUCGUGAGAUGUUGGGUUAAGUCCCGCAACGAGCGCAACCCUUAUUACUAGUUGCCAGCAUUCAGUUGGGCACUCUAGUGAGACUGCCGGUGACAAACCGGAGGAAGGUGGGGAUGACGUCAAAUCAUCAUGCCCCUUAUGACUUGGGCUACUCACGUGCUACAAUGGAUGGUACAACGAGCAGCGAACUCGCGAGGGUAAGCGAAUCUCUUAAAGCCAUUCUCAGUUCGGAUUGUAGGCUGCAACUCGCCUACAUGAAGCCGGAAUCGCUAGUAAUCGCGGAUCAGCACGCCGCGGUGAAUACGUUCCCGGGUCUUGUACACACCGC
rnacentral:rRNA from 1 species